CUGGGAACUUGAGGGCAGCAGAAGGAAACGGAAUUCCCAGUGUAGCGGUGAAAUGCGUUGAUAUUGGGAAGAACACCAGCGGCGAAGGCGGUUUCCUAGGUUGUUCCUGACGCUGAGGCUCGAAAGCGUGGGUAGCGAAGCGGAUUAGAUACCCGCGUAGUCCACGCCCUAAACGGUGGACACUAGAUAUGGGGAGUAUCGACCCUUUCCGUGUCGAAGCUAACGCCUUAAGUGUCCCACCUGGGUACUACGAUCGCAAGAUUAAAACUCAAAGGAAUUGACGGGGGCCCGCACAAGCAGCGGAGCGUGUGGUUUAAUUCGAUGCUACGCGAAGAACCUUACCAGGGCUUGACAUGUCAGUAGUAGGAAUCCGAAAGGAGGACGACCUGUAUCCAGUCAGGAACUGUCACAGGUGCUACAUGGCUGUCGUCAGCUCGUGCCGUGAGGUGUUGGGUUAAGUCCCAUAACGAGCGCAACCCCUGUCCUAUGUUGAAUUCUCAUAGGAGACUGCCUUGCACAGCAAGGAGGAAGGAGGGGAUGACGUCAAGUCAGCACGGCCUUUAUACCCUGGGCUACACACACGCUACAAUGGAUGAUACAAUGGGUUGCCAAGGAGCGACCCGGAGCUAAUCCUAAAAAAUCAUCCUCAGUUCGGAUUGCAGGCUGAAAUCGCCUGCAUGAAGUCGGAGUUGCUAGUAACCGCAGGUCAGCCAUACUGCGGUGAAUGCGUUCUCGGGCCUUGUACACACCGCCCGUC
rnacentral:rRNA from 1 species